GUCGCAGUUGCGGUGGUAUACGGACGACCAGAAGAGUCGACCACUGCCGCCAUCCAGGGUGAGGAACAGCGUUCCGCCACCAUCCCGUCUGUGAGAACAUUGGUGGCGGCGUCGUACGCGGAAGAAGACGACGAUACCAUUUGUGUCCAGGCAGACAACAAGUUCUACUUGUAUGCCAAUUCACUGAAGCUGUAUUCUUGCUACAACCUACUACCGAAGGUUUACGUGGUGAAACCAAAGAGUCUGUGUAAACCAGUCCUGUCCGACUGUCCCAAGAACUAGGAGUAUUGCAAGUGUGUCGCCUCAUCCUGGAGGAGCUGACUCAUCUAGGAUUGAGUGAAGGCGAGAUGGCUGAGCUGUUGACUGAAGACAUCAACAAUUUUCACAGAAAGAAGUAAAUUCCAAGAGUGUAGAACUUACCUCUUUCACUAGCAAGAAAAACUGGUGGAAUCAACAUAUCUUGUUUUGUGAUACUUUCUGAUUGCUUCAAGAUAUGCAAUAAAUCAGCUUUACAACCAG